GGUACAAGGAAAAAUUCGCUCUUUGUAGCUCCUGGAUUGUCUCUUUAAAGAUGAACGCUCUUGCCCUCUAGUUCCUCUUCAUCCCUCUGCUUAGAAAUGGCAAUAACCGUGUGUAGCUGUGGACAUGUAUACUGAUGAGGGAAGAAACAGCGGGUCUGCAAGGGGAAACACCUUACUAAGGCUUGUAGCAGAGACUUGAUGGUGGGAAGUACACACUGGUGAAUGAAUGAAGAAGCAAAGGGUUCAAGGUGAAAGACGGGGAAUAAAAACAAUUGAAGAAGGUCCUGAGUUCGGAUCCCAGCAACCACAUGGUGGCUCACAUCCACCCA